rnacentral:lncRNA from 1 species
CGCAUUGAAGGUCGGGCUCUAAGGCAUGAAGCUUUCAGUCCGGAGAGGUCCGGCGAUGAGCUUAAUGCACACCGUCCUGCUACCCAAGUUCAAGGUCAUAAAGAGGAUGUUACCUCAAGCUCGUUGAGCAACACUUCUCCGGAUCCCAUUGACAGCGAGGAUGAGGAGGGAAAAGAGGCUGUAAACCAACUUGUGCUGAAUAAGAGGUGAGGUCGAGUGAUUCCCGUAGUUAAGCUAGAGGAUCUAGCCUUACCCAUUUCCAUCUUGAGCUCGGACAACGAGCAUUCAAACGAUCUUGCUCGCGUUCCCCCUCAGUUCGUAAAAGAGGUUGAGGCCGUUAGACCGAGCUUGGGGCAAAGCCAACGUAAUGAGGUUCAAGAGUUUGAAGAAAGCCACUUCAGCUGCCGAUUUCCCCAUCAUGGCGGCUCUUCUUGUUCCCCAACAAAUUGUUGAUUUGAUCAUGGAGUUGGUCAAGCUCACCAGAGGUCCCUCCUCUGGGCAAUCGUAAGGGGAAGGAACUCUCUGCUGGCGGGCCGAAGAGGCCCUACAAGAAAGUAGGGGAAACAAGCUCUAUUACGACUUUCGAUUUUUGAAAGCUCGAAUUCUCCACCUGUGAGGUCGGCAGGCAAUUAAUAGAAGCUGACUUCGCCCAAGAUCAUGACACAAAUGUGGCUCUUGCGCGAGCUGUCAUGUUGCCAAACGACAUCUCUGCCUUCGUCGAAAAGACCUCAAAGACGAUGAAAAGUUUGUUGGUGAUGCAACACAUUCAGGUAAGCAUUAUGACUUCGGUACGUUUUGACUUGUAUAUCCAGAAUUGUAUUUUAAAAUUGUGCAUUUGGUUUGCAAAGCCUUCAAGAGCGAUGGAAAUCUCGGACCGCAUGGCAGAGCACUCGUCCGAGCUAAAGAGGGCCAAAAAGAAGACAGGUAGUUUGGAGUCCGAGUUGAAGAAAGCAAAGCUCGUACUGGCCGACGUUGAUAAGAUGAAGGCAGAUUUAAGCUGCUGUGGAGAAAGCCCAGGACUCCAGCUACGCGGCUGCUACCCAAGCUCAAGACAAGGCUACAACUACCAAGGCUACCCUUGCCUAGCUUCAAAUGGUGGCGUGUGGCCCCAUCUACGAGCGAGUCUUCAACAACAGAAUCAAUCGGGCAGGGGAUAACUAUAGUAGGUAGGUCCGCUCUGAAUCUUUCUUGGAGGGAUGGCUUAUUUGUUUGGCAGAGCUCAGUGUACCUGAGGACGACCCCACUUGGACCAAGGCUGCCCCUGCUCCCGAGGUCCCCAAAACUCCUACACAUUAUUCUCCCAUGAUCUUUCCCGGCUUCGACGAGGAGGGGUACAUGAACAGGCUGGAUGAAGAUAAGGAUGUUCAUGAGCCUAUUCUUGCUCCUGUUGUGGCCUUGAACAUCAAAGUUGACAAUGUUGCGGAGGAAAUCGGGGGAACGGUUGCUGAGGAAUCUGGGGAAAUAUCCACCGACGAGACUGAGGGAGAUGUUGGGGAAGAUGCAGCCCAGGAUCCCCUUCCCAAGCUCUGAAGUUUCUCUCUGCUUUUGUCUUUGCUUGAACUUGUAAACAUUUGUUUCUUUCCAAAUUUUCGCAAAUAGAACUUUGUCUCAACUUUCAACUCAUUUAUGUGAAACUUGUUUACUUGAUACUUUAAUUCAUCUCCUCUGGCAAAGUGUACCUUGACAAAACACAUGAAUCAGGAUUCGGAGAUCACAUAGAGCUAACACCUUCUUGACUUUUUGCCAAGAACACAUAGGCAAACCUCGUGGGAUGGAGUUUGGAGUUUGCGUGGAGCUCGGCUAACCCCUGAACUUUGGUAGAGUGUACCUUGGCAAAAUUAUGGGUCAAGGUUUGGAACUCGCUUAGAGCCCAGCUAACCCCUUUCUGAAUUUUUGCCAAGAACACUAAAAAGAACCUCGUGGGAUAGAGUUCGGAACUUGUGUGGAGCUCGGCUAACCCUCCCUGAACUCUAGAAGAGUGUACCUUAGCAAAACUAUGGGUCAGGGUACGAAGCUCGCUUAGAGCUCGGCUAACCCCUCCGUAUAUUAUUGCCAAGAACACAAAGGAAAACCUCAUGGAAUGGAGUUCGGAGCUUACAUGGAGCUCGGUUAACCCUCCCUAAACUCUGGCAGAGUGUACCUUCGCAAAACAGUGGGUCAGGGUUCGAAACUCGCUUAGAGCUUAGCUAACUCCUCCAUGAAUUCUUGCCAAGAACAUAAAGGAAAACCUCAUGGUACGGAGUUCAGAGCUUGCGUGGAGCUCGGCUAACCCUCCCUGAACUCUGGCAAAGUGCACCUUGGCAAAGCUGUGGGUUAAGGAUUAUAACUCACCUAGAGCUUGACUAACCCAUCCGUGAAUACUUGCAAAGAACACAAAGGAAAACCUCGUGGGAAGGAUUUUGGAGCUUGUGUGGAGCUCGGCUAACCCUCCCUGAACUCUACAGAGUGUACCUUGGCAAAAUUGUGGGUCAGGGUUUGAAACUCGCUUAGAGCUCGCUAA